rnacentral:misc_RNA from 1 species
CCGCGCGCCCGCGCGGGCGCGCGGGGGGCCCGCCGGGGGGCGUGCGCGUCCGGCGCCGUCCGUCCGUCCGUCCGUUCGUCUUCCUCCCUCCCGGCCUCCCCGCCGGCUGUGGGGGAGGGGGGGGCCCGCGCGUCCCCGGUCGGCGCGCCCCGCUUCUUCGGCUCCCGCCUCCUCCCCGUUCCCCGCCGGGGCGGCUCGUCCGCUCCGGGCCGGGACGGGSGCUCCGGGGGGCGCGGGUGGGAGCCGCGGAGGCGGCCGCGCCGAGCCGGGUCCGUGGCCCGCCGGCCCCCGUCCCGGGGGGUGGCCGCGCGGGCCCGGGGGUCGGCCACCCCGGGGUCCCGGCCCUCGCG